GAAUGACACUUGCUAAUUUGAAUUUCAGAACACACCUAAACCGCAUUCUGAUCUCCAGAUGCCACAUAUGAGUGUCCAGAGGCUGCAUCAGUGAAAAAGAAAGAAUUUAUCAUACUUAAAGGCUGAUCAUGCAGCAGAAUUACUUCGGACAGAAAUAACACGCUUAACUAGGCUUGAGGGACUGAAAUUGGACUCAAAUGAAAGAAUCUCCUCAAUAACUUGUUUUACUGGUGAGUUGUUUGAAUGGCAGCAUAAGCACCAGGGGAUGGGGAACUCCACCUUGCCAUGGAUAG
rnacentral:lncRNA from 1 species